GUAGAGGGUGCUUCGGCGUCGGCCGUGGUCUAAGUUCCUUGGAACAGGACGUCACAGAGGGUGAGAAUCCCGUACGUGGCCGCCGGCCUUCGCCAUGUGAAGCCCCUUCGACGAGUCGAGUUGUUUGGGAAUGCAGCUCUAAAUGGGAGAUAAAUUUCUUCUAAAGCUAAAUAUUGGCCAGAGACCGAUAGCGCACAAGUAGAGUGAUCGAAAGAUGAAAAGCACUUUGGAAAGAGAGUCAAAAAGCACGUGAAAUUGUUGAAAGGGAAGCGCUUGCAGCCAGACGUGCCCGCAGUUGCUCACCCGGGCUCUCGCCCGGGGCACUCUUCUGCGGGCAGGCCAGCAUCAGUUCGGGCGGUCGGAUAAAGGCCUCUGUCACGUACCACCCUCCGGGGUGGCCUUAUAGGGGAGGCGCAACACGGCCAGCCUGAACUGAGGA
rnacentral:rRNA from 1 species